AACUCCUGGAAGUUGAAGUCAAAAUCGUCAUCAUAAGCCAGUAAUCUCAUUUCCUCCCCUUUGCGAAAAUGACGGAGCCUGAUGCCCCUGCCAGCCAGGGAACAUCACCUCUGUGACUUCCAGCCAUACAAAUGAGUAUGCCACCAACACGGUAAAGCAGUCAACUACUCCAUGUUCAUAAGUCUCAAGGACUGGGACAGUCACCAUCUUGACACCCAUAACAACAUUUAAAAUGGCAACACGGGGGGUUUCAACAAAAAGGACUUCUCUCACCUCAGUUUCACAAAACAUACCCCAGAAGCCAUUGACGAUGACCAUGACCACGACCCUCAACAGUUUAGUGACAUCUGCUGCUUCAUCAAUAACAAGACCCAAGAUGAGAAGAUGGUCAUCCAUGUGGAAGUGGAUCUCACCAGACACCGAAUCUGCUGGCACCUUGAUCUUGGACUCCAGAGCUG